GAUGAAGAACGCAGCGAAAUGCGAUAAAUAAUGUGAAUUGCAGAAUUCAGUGAAUCAUCGAGUCUUUGAACGCACAUUGCGCCCCCUGGUAUUCCGGGGGGCAUGCCUGUCCGAGCGUCAUUGCUGCCCUCAAGCACGGCUUGUGUGUUGGGCCCCCGUCCCCCCCUCCCGGGGGACGGGCCCGAAAGGCAGCGGCGGCACCGCGUCCGGUCCUCGAGCGUAUGGGGCUUUGUCACCCGCUCUGUAGGCCCGGCCGGCGCCUGCCGACCACCAUCAAUCUUUUUUCAGGUUGACCUCGGAUCAGGUAGGGAUACCCGCUGAACUUAAGCAUAUCAAUAACGGAGGA
rnacentral:misc_RNA from 1 species